UACGUAGGUGGCAAGCGUUGUCCGGAAUCACUGGGCGUAAAGCGCGCGCAGGCGGCGAUCUACGUCUGGGGUGAAAGCCCGGAGCUCAACUCCGGGACUGCCUUGGAUACGGGAUCGCUUGAGGAUUGGAGAGGCAAGGGGAAUUCCACGUGUAGCGGUGAAAUGCGUAGAGAUGUGGAGGAACACCUGUGGCGAAGGCGCCUUGCUGGCCAAUUACUGACGCUGAGGCGCGAAAGCGUGGGAGCAAACAGG
rnacentral:rRNA from 1 species